UUUUUUUUUUUUUUUUUUUUUUUUUAGGUUUUGCAAAAUGCAGCUAUCAAGAUUCGAACUCAAGACCUUUGUAAUAAAAGACCAAUGUAGUAACCAUUGCACCAUCACAUCUUAUUAGUUUUGUUUUGAUAACUUAUUUAUAUAAAACAAAAACUCAUAUUUCUUUUUUUUAUUUUUUUUUACAAAAUCUAAUCAUCUCAUGGCUCUUUCUUUUUAAUCUUCAACACACACACACACACACACUCUCCUCUUUUUUUUGUCACUCUCUUUUUAAUCAAACCACUUUAUUUUUAAUUUAUUGAUGUUUUCUUCCAUCUUUUAAUUUUAUUUUUGUCCAUUAAAUUGAAAAAGGUUAAAAAAGAAUUAUUUUUCUUUAACCCAAAUUAUUUAAUGCCACAACCACUCACUUUUAUCUUAUUUUUUAUUUCUUAUCAAGUUUGCAUUUCUAUUUUCGAUUCUCUUGACUUCUUUCAAACUCCAAAAGUCCUUUUUUAAAUUGCAAUCUCUAAAUCCCAAAACGUAAAUUAAAAUUUUAGUUCACAAAAUCUAAAUUCUCAUAGACAUGAAUUUUGUAUAAUUUUAAAAUAUUAUGAUAUUUUUGGGUUAGAUCUAAGAUUUUUUUGGUAGAUAUAAUUGAAAUUGAAAUGAAAUUUAUUUGUUUUAACUUAUAAUUUAAAAUUUUUAUUUUUAAAAAAUCAAGUUAUUCAAAAAUAGUAAACUUUUCAUCAUAUAAUGUAUUAAAUUGGUCCAUUAUAUGUCUUAUUUUGUGCAUAAAUAUUUAUAUAAAUUAUUUUUUUUAAAUUCAUUGAACCGAGGUUGAACCGGUCCGACCGAUUGAAUCUCGACCCUUUCACGUCACCGGUUCAAUUAACGAUCCGGUUUUUAAAACAUUGGCUCCAGUAGGCCUGUUUCUUCACCGCGUAGAGUGAUUUUACGGAGUCGGAAACCUGAGAAGGGAUGACCUCCCGGGUCUCUCUGUCCUCAAGGUCUAGCUGUGUGGUUUUUCUUGAAGUUAUAUUGGGAGAGGAGUAAGUCACCGAUCAAAUAUGUUAAGCCGUUUAAUCUUCGGGGUAUCUCAUAGUGAGGACAAUUAAAUCGCUGGUUAUUUUUGUGUCUUUGUCAAUCGAAAACAUUUUUCAUGAGAUAAACCCUUAUAAAUUAAUCUUCUAUAUAUGAUAAUGUAUAUACUUACACCGUUGGAUAUAUGACAUAUCAAAUUUUGCAUAUAUGUCAUGUAUUUCACCAUAAUAGUUUAUAUACUGUCAGUGUAUAUAAGAUUUACUCUUAAUUUAUGAAUUAAUCUUCUAUAUGCUGACAUUGUAUAUACUUUCACCAUUACACACAUCACACAUAAUCUGAAUUUGAAUUUAAAAAUCAAAAUUUAUAUAUGCGUCAUGCAUCGAAUCGUGACAAUAUAUACAAUGUUAAUGUAUAUAAAAUGUACUCUUUAAUUUAUGAGUGAGUUGGACAUUAGUCAAGAAUUUUUGCUUGUUUGAUUAGGUUGUCUUCGUUUAUACUCAUUAAUGCGAGAAUCAAUCAAAAUAGAGAAAGACAAAACCCCUAACUUACGCUGCCGGGAGAGGGGAUUAGAAUGUAAGGCGAAGGGACAGUUUUAAGGUUUUUGGCCCAAUAAUUAAUUUGGUAAACAAUAAAAAAACCGCGUAAUAAAUCUAAUAUAUAGAAAAGCACAUCAUGAUUUUAAAAUAUACAACACGACACCUCAUUUAUUGAACUAAAUUGUAAAGGUAAUGAAAUCCAUUAAAUUUAAUGGAAAUGAAUGAAAUGACAAAAAUGCUCUGAUAUAGUUAAACAAAAGACAACUCAAUAAAAUUAUUUAUUUUAUUCUCUAGAGAAAGGGAAAUUGAGUGUUAAGGGGCAGAAUAGAUAUAUUUGUUAAAAAUUAGGUAUAAAUUUGUUUUAGGUUUCAAUAAGUCAUUUUCGUUAAAUUUAAUGGAUUUCGUUAUCUUUAUAAUUUAGUUCAAAGUAUGGAAUGUCAUGUUAUACGUUUUGAAAUCACCGAAAUUUUUUAUAUAUUAGAUUUAUCACGUGACUUUUUUAUUUUUUACCCUAAUUAAUUUCUUAGCAAUUUAACCUUUCACUAAAAUUAUACUGUACUUAUUUAUUUUCGCCUUCCUCUUUUCGUCUGAACCCAACCCAACUAAAAAUUUCCACUCCUUUCAAAACCCCUAGAUCAGAACACAACUCAUAAUUAAGACUAAAUGCAACAGCAGCAGCCAUCUCCGGCACCACCACAGACGGCGGCAAUUUCCGCCGGAGCACCGUCUAGUGACCAACAGACUGCUGAGGCGCCACCGAAACAGGUCGCGCUAGCCAUGGACCGGCUAGCUCAAGCUGGCCGCCUCAUUGCUGACAUCAGAAUCGGCGCCGAUCGCCUCCUCGAAGCCCUAUUCGUCGCUGCCUCCGAGCCGCAUCAGCAAUCCUCCAAACCCUUGCAGCUAAUCGUUAAAGAAGAAGCUUCCAUGCGCCAAUACCUCCAAGACCUCCGCACCAUCGGUAUAUAUAUAUAUUCUGCACAUCUCUGCGUGUGCUUGUUAAGUUUAGUGUGCAAAUUCUUUUAAAAAUAAUUUUUGUUAAUUUUUAUGGAUUUAUGCGCUUUGAAUUAUAGAAAAUGUUAUGAUAUUCUGAAGAUUUGAAUGCUAGUGUUGGUUUUUGCGUUUUCUUUGAAAUGAUUAUGAUAAAGACUAGGAUUUUGAGGAUUGAAGUGUAUUUUAAGUUCACAUUAUAGAUAAAGUUUGAAGUUUGUACUUGUCCGAAAAGGUUUGAAGAUUGUGUGCUUGUGCUUGUCUAUUUUAGAUUUAUUGAGGGUGCUUGGUUUGUUUAUGUUCGAAAUAUGGUACAUUGUUACGUAGUGAAUGCAAGGGGAGGGCGGAGACAGGGGCAAGCUAUUUACAUGCUUUUGAACUUUUAUUGCCAGGAAACAGUUUAUUAAGAGAAGCAGCAGGGUCAUAUUUGGUGAGAUAAAAGAAAGACAACGGUCUUGAUUAUUCACAGUAUGUAUGUCGAUGUUUGUCAUGUUGAUUAUAGAGGAGAUCGACGAAGCGUCAUUUGGCUAGAGAUGGAUAAAAAUACCACCAACAAGAAUAGAAAGGAGAGUGCUGUCCAUUUAUGUGUGGAAGGAAAAGUGAAAAAGGACUGAUUAGGUUCCUUAAAAAUGAAAGAGGAUAGGAAGAUGAUGGGAAAGCCCCUGAAUUAUGUACAUGGAAGAGGAAUUAAAUAAUGUAAAUGGAACAGAUUCAUAAAUGAGGUUGCUAGUUGUUGUAAGUGUUAUCUAUGUCACCCUUUUUUCAUUCUUAGCUGUUGCUGUCAGGUGCUAAUAAACAUUUUCCUUUUUCCAGGUAAGCAGUUAGAGGAUUCUGGGGUUCUCAAUGAAUCUCUUCGCUCCAGAAGUAAUUCAUGGGGUCUUCAUAUGCCCCUGGUUUGUCCAGAUGGUGCUGUUGUUGCAUAUGCAUGGAAACGUCAACUUGCUGGUCAGGCUGGUGCAUCUGCUGUAGACAGAACUCGGUAAAUAUUAUUUCAUUAACAUGGCCCAAUCAAUUUGUAUUUUGUUUAUUAAUGUCUUAUUGGUAUUCUUUGUGGAUGCAAUAUAUUGCUAGAGGUUAAGAGCCUCUAGCUAGAUUUGAUCUCAUCUAGUCCUGUCUUUCCUUUUUUUCGAAAGUCAACCUCUUUGUCAGAUUGUAAAAUAUUGCAGUGUGCUGACCUUCAUAAAAGGAUGAAUUUGCAUAGUUUCUGCUAAAUGGAACUCCUGAACGGUGAAUAGAGAGGUUACAAGUCUGAGAAUUCUAAAUAUUCAGCUUUUGAGUUGCAUACUGUUAUCUCCUCAGGAAAAGGACAAGCAGAUAUAAAAAAUGACUUAAAUGUAGCUUUAUAGGUUAUGUGUAGUUAACCUCUGUAAUCCUUUGCUGCACAUGCAGACUGAUGUGUUUGCUGGGUUUAAGAACGCAGCUUCAUUACAUAGCCCAUGCCAGUUUGGGGCUUCUCUUUAUGUGCUUUAGAGCCUUAAUUUGCUGGUUAUACCGUUUUGUUCUUUUGUAUUAGCAGGUGUUUGUGUUGUUAAGUCAAAUUAUACGAGUUUCUUUGAUGAUCUGACACGUUAGUAAUUGGUUCUGGGUUCUUAGUGCUACCUAUGUUACAUGGACUCACCAUUCACCCCAGGCGCACCCGUGUUGGAUAUGACAUGGGUAUGGGUAUGGAAUCUGUACCUGAUGUGCUAAAAUUUUUUUGGAUAUGUUGACUAUUGUGAGAUGUGAUGUUGAUGGCAGAGAAGAGAUGGAUAAGAAGUCACAUGAGAUGGUAAGAGAGUGGAAGAGGAAGAAGGGUGGCUUUGCGGAGGAGAAACAAAGAAGGAGAAAGCUGCUAGAGAUUUGAAUAGAAAAAUACUCACGACACCUGCUGUAUUUUCGCUUGAUACAUACGAGCUGUUGAUUCUCUUUCAUUGGUGGAUAUGGGAUUGUAGCAACGAUUGCAUCUAAGAGUAAGAGUGGCUUUGUUUUUUGGAGAAGAAGUGCUGUGUUUUGAUUCGUUUUAAAUGCUCAGUAAAUGAGGUGACGGCACUGCUGAAUGAGGGAUGAGGAAUAUAGGGUUUGAAAAUGAUAUUUAUUUUGCAACUAAAUCCCUGUAUUUUGACUUUAAUUAUCAUUUUCAUCAAGUAACUUAAUCUCUUUACAAUUUUGCACUUUUUAAUAUAAUUUCAGCCCCUCAUACUUGAAAAAUUUACCUUUCUAACCAAGCUUAUGGUUCUUUUCAACCUAAUUGCACAUUUAAUUGAAAUUUUUUAUUAAAAUACUCUUUAUACGUCAUUGUGCAUAAAUUUUAGAAUGAUUUAUUUCUAAAAAUCUUAUCCAUCUAUGACACUUGUACCCAAAAUUGGACACAUAUCUCCGGAUCCUACAAUUUUCAAAUAUGCGAAUCUGACACUUCGACAGGCACCCAUAGCUGACCCCCCCCCCCCUGAGUCCAUGUAACAUAGAUUGCUACUUCUGAAUUCUCCAAUCCCCAGUUUUUCUGAGAAAUUCUUAGUGUAAGUCGAGGAAAUAAGAGGACUGAAAUUGAGCACAUUACAAUUCACUGGCUGCUGGCCUGUAGCAGCUGUAUGGCAUUCAAGUCAUGGGUUGCGGGUUUAUUCAUAAGGUUGAUAAUGACUUGGUGAUAUAACAGUUAAUAGUAGCAUUAAAUGGUGUGCUGGCAUGUAAAUAUGUAUCCUACGUAGUGGCUCUGUUAGCAUAUAACCAACCUUAGCUCAAUUUAAUCUUUGAUUUUCUCUUCAAUGGUGUAUCUUUUGCCUUCUUUGUUAGCUGUCGAAUGCUAUUCUCUCUCUUCUGAAUUAUAGGUUUGGAAUGUCUGCAGGUUGGCUCUCAAGGCUUUCACUGAUCAGAAAAGAAGAUUUUUUCCUCACCUUGAUGAUGCUGCUAGUGUGGAAUCUGCUAAAAAGAAACAUUGUGCUCCUGUAGUGUUAGAAGAGCUAAGUGAACUGAGAACACUAUCAGAUAUUCUUACCCUUGUAGAAAAAGAGGUCCCAAAUGUCAAAACUUCUACAUACCAGCGUUUGGAAUGGUUGAAAAGAGCUUCCUUGCUUCCUUCUUCUGAAAGUUCAAUCGAGUCUUCAAAGGAUCAUGGAUUUCAUAGUAAAUUUAGACAGGGAUCAGUAAGCAAUGUCACUGCUGAUAAGGUUUCUGUAAUUGAAUUGCUGUUUCCGUCUAUUUUUAGAGCUAUAAUAUCAUUGCAUCCAUCCGGUUCCACUGUUCCUGAUGCUGUGGCUUUCUUCUCACCAGAUGAGGUGAUCUUAGUGUUCAGAUGCACAAAUGUCUUGAAUUCGUCAUUGCUGUGGUAUUCUAGUUUGAUUCAUGUGUUUAAUGUUCCAUGCAUAAGUCAUUGUUGCCAUGAAGUGGUUGAAUGCUAUGGAUGGUUCAUGAGCAAAUUGAAUAUUUACCUGUAGAGAACCUAUGUUAAUGAAUUCUUAGGUAUAUUCUGCUGUUGAGAUUAACAUUUGAUAUCUGUGAAGUUAGGUGUGAUUGUUUAAAUUAGAACAAAAGCAGCACACACACUAUAAAAAAAAAGAGAAAAAAAAAAUCUAGCAAUGCAGUCUGAAUGACAAGUUGGUAGGAUGCAUGAUGAUAAGUUACAAUUGUGUUCGGGUUUACAAUUUCUUUUGCUUAUGAGUUAAUGUGUUCCUUUUGUAGAAAAAAGAACUGGUAAAGUUCAUUUCAAACAACUUAAAGUUUUAUUAGCAUCUUUUGUAUCCAACAAGGAAUUUAUUUGGUACGCACAUGGUAGAUGAGAUGGCAAAUGUUGUGAACUAGGAAAGGACUUUUUAUCCUACCAUUGGCAAACGGGGUGAUAUGCAAAUGUGAUGUUUCUAAAGGACACACUCACACUUCCUGUUUUGGUUAUGGCAUCCAUUUGUUCUUUUCAUGAACUCGUUUCUAAAAUCUGCAUUAAUAUUGGCUAAAAGAAUAUGCAAUUGAUUAGGUGUAUGGCAUUUGCAACAUGGUGUAAUUUUGUCAUUGUGUUUUUCCCAGUAUAUACAUUUUAAUGUUCAUAAACUGUCCAGGGUUUUAGCAUUUGUGACUGCAGCCUACUCGAUCUGGAGAUGUUUUCGCAAUGAAUGCUGUAUAUGGUUUAAUACAUGCAGGCCUACUCGAUCUGGAGAUGUUUUUGCAAAGAAGACUUUGCGUAGAAAAACAGAAUCCUUUGGUGAAAAUGGGAAUGGAUAAAAUUUGAAAGAAAUGCUGUUUUAAUAAUUAACAGAAUUGUGUACAAGGAACACAAUUUUGCAAUAUUUGAAUUUCGACCAUUCUUUCUAACUACAGGUCUGCAUGUUAGCACUGUGCUGGACUCAACUCUCACUUGGCAUUGGCACUUUUAAACUUUAAACUGAUUUGAUUUAGUGUACUAAUCAAGCUCAAAAAUAGUCAUUAUGAGCUUGACUAAACUUACUCCCUUGUGUUGUCUCGACUCCAUAAUUUGAUGGAUUACUUAGCAAGAUAGGUUCCAGCUAACUCCUAUCUGAAACAGUAUUGCAAAAUGUCGUAUAAUAGAUUUUGUUAAGAAGAAGCUUAGUAGGCCUGCAAAAUCUUUGUUCUAAAAUCAUGUUCCUUGUUAUGCUGCUUUAAAAUAGAUAAAAGGUGUUGUUAGUUCUCUGUCUCUCCCCCCCUCCCCCCAUUAGUUUUGAGUUUGCAAAACAUCCUCCUUUUUUUUUUCCAUUUAUCUUUCUUUUUGGUUAGUUGUAAAACUUGUGGAAUAUUUUGUAUCUUGUUUCUUCUGCUUAUUUAAACACUGUUUUUUAAUUUUAGAGUAAUGAUAACUUUUGACGGAUUACUAUUUUUUUGCUUGUAAAGGGUGGCAGCUACAUGCAUGCUAGGGGGUUUUCAGCUUAUAAUGUAUUUCGGCAUAUUACGGUAUGGCUUUGGCUACCAUUUGCAUGUGGCCAUACAUUCUUAUUGGCACAGUUUUGCUGGUGUUGUUGAUGGAAUUUGACAUUGAUUUAUCAUUGAUGGAAUGCACUAAUAUUUCCCUGUAACAGGAACAUGCUUCCUUGGCUUUGCAAUAUUUUGUUGGUAUUAAUGCUGAAACAGCCUUAUAUACUCUUUUGGUAAUUAUAAUUUUUCUAAAGAUUUGAUAAUUGGUAACAUACAAUUUUAUUUUUGCCUUGCUGUGACGAAACCAUAAGUCAAAAUUUUGAUAUAUUUUGUUAUGUUCUUGAAGCAUUGGGUCUGCAGCUAUCGGACUAUCCUUACAAAAGUUUGCAGGUGAAGUUUCUCUUACUGUUUUGGUCGUUAUGCUGCUAUUCCCUCUAGAUAUUAAAUCCUGAAUGGGUUCUGUGCAGCAAGUGCGGCCGACUGCUAACUAUGGACCAACAAUCAGGGUUAUUAUUGCCCCCGGUUAUUCGGCCCUACCGAAAUUUUUCUGCUGGUAAAGUUUCAUCCAAGAGUUCCUCAAGUGAGGAUCAAAGUGCCAAUCCCAUAGAAGCUUUUCAUGUUGCCUGCUAUUCAGAAGCAGCAUAAGCUAGUUUAUACAUUUGAACCACUGUUAAUCAUAGGCUUGUCUCUAGUGCAUGUACACAGAAUGAAGUAACAGGUGCUUGUGAAUCUUGUUUCGGUUAGCUCAUAGCUGUCAGAUAGGUUUAUCGUCUAGAGAAACUAGGAAAAGCUCAUUAAAUGUAGUAAUCUAGGUUUUAGUUUAGUUUCACUCGGGUACGUGCUGAAAAUAGAGGUCUUUCUUUUAUAAUUGAAAUGGUCUCUCAUGGUGUUACAUUUUUGAGCUAACAUUUUAUUAUUUGCCAUAGGCAAUGAACUUUUUUAAUUUGCAUUGAAGAUGAUCUUCUUGAGGUACCUACUAGAUGUCUUUACAUUUCAUCUUGCUAUCUUAUCUUACAAGUUAAAUGUCUAUGUUUCAGUUUAUCAUGAAUAUGGUUGCAGUUCCACUCCAUCUUUGUUAAAAAAAACUGAACAAAAAAUUAUGUGUAAUUUAUAUCCUGAACAUGAUGGACCAAUUAUCAAUCUAAUCUAUGUAAUUUACUUCAUUUUAUAAGUUCUCAGUCUGCUGUAAAAUGUAACAAGCUGUAAGAGUCAAUUACAUGGUGUGCAAUUUUAUCUUUUAAACUGGCUUCUUCUAUCCUUAUCCUAAUUGCAAGGGUCUUUCCAGCUUUAUAAAGUCAUGGUGACUUGCCACUGUAAUUCAACUAACUUUUUUUUUUCAAGUAAUUCAACUAACCUAGACAUGCAUUGUUCACAUUACUCCGUUUGUUUGGACCUGUUCUAAAAAACAUGUUUUUGAAAAACUUAAAACAUGAUUUCUAACUAUCUUUUUAUAUAGACACAUUUGUCAAGAAAGAUGCCGUAAAAAAAAAAAAAAAAAAACCAUCCAAACAUUAAAAUCCUUGCAAAGAAAGGUGUAGCAUCAUUACAGACAUAAACAUAUUUUAAAAUCACUAACAAAUUUCAAUGGCAAAUUGAAGUUUGGUGUAGCAAGACUAGUAACUCCUACUUCCCCACCAAUCUUCCAGAAAAAAAGAAAAAAGAAAAAAGAAAAAAGGCAGUCCAACUCUUCCAGCAAAGGUUCUUUUUCUCGCCUCUCUCAAUUUAUUCACAUUCUUUCCCUAAUAUUAAAGUGUAUCCACCGUUGAGUUCUAGACACUCAUUCGAAAACUUUCCUAGGAUUUUGUAUUCUAUCCUUAAUUUUAGCUAAAAAGGAUAACAGUGCAGGGAAAAGAAAAACAGAUUAAUUUGUUUGCUACAGAUUAUCCCAGAGUAAAAAUUUGGUCUUUUUCAAAGAUAACUACGAUGGUCUUUGAAAGGGUGCAUGAUGAUGUAUUUAUGCUGCAACCGUGUAAUAUAAUUUGUUAUAUAUAACAGCACCCAAACUUUCUUUGCCAAUCUACUUUAUCUCCAAUGCUUCUCCUUCUCUUGAAGCAAAGGUUAAAAUAAACAAAGAUGCCAAGAAACAUAUGCUCUUUGAAUUGCAAAAGUUGCAGAGCCCACCUGACUCAAUCCUCAACUUUUAAAAACUGUCUCUCUGUGUCUUCACUGAUACGUGUUCUUUUGAAACCAAUAUAAUCUUGACAUGCAAAGGUUAACACCAUCUAAAAAUAUGGUCCACAGUAUACUUUUUCCUAAAAGUGAUUAUAAUUAAUAUUUUGUAUCGAUAGUGGCACCAGUAGGGUUUUGGUAGGAUGUCCUUUAAUGCAGUAACUGUUUUAUAUGGUUUCAUUCUCCUACGUCUUCGAUCAGUCUCAGAUUGAUUCUGGUUUUCAGCAGUACAAGUGCUCAAAUAUGUUUGAGUUGAGGAUAGAUAAAUAUAAAUUAGGAAGACUAAUGGCCAAAAUAUUGAAACUUUAAAAACAAAAAUCUAUUACUAAUAUCCUACUACGGUUGUAAUUCUUGUAAAAUUGAAUAUGGCACUCCCAAAAAAUGUUGUUUUCUAUUGUUAGAUACCUUUGUGGAUUUUUUCUUUUUUGUAUUUACAUGCAGCAAGAAAAAAAGUGUCAUUCCCCACCCUUUCCCCCACCAUACCUAAAACCAAAAAGAACAAAAAGAAUGACGAGGUUAAGGACCAGCUGUUAAAGUCUGGAAAGGCAACAAAAGUGAUUAAGCACUGCAAGUAAUUUCUACGACAAUUUUUUAGGAGUUAGUUUGUGUGACAGUUAAGAUUGCAUUUCAUAUUUUAAUGGUUUACUUUAGUCACAUUGUACAUUUCAUUUCAUAUUAUAUUUGUUUCUUAGCAAUUUACAUCUUCUAUGGUUAUUAUGUAUAUUUCUACCUACCAAUUACAUCAAGACAAGUCACAUGGCCAGAUCUAAAAAGAGUCUCCAAUUUCUCUAUGAAUGUAAGUCUGUACCAGGAGCCCAAGUUCCUUUUUGAUAUGCCUUACCAAAGUAUCAAGUCUCCUCACAUAAAUUCCAAGCUUGACAGUUUAAGCAAGCCCCUAAACCAAUAGCAUUAUUGUCCUUCUUCCACACCACCCUAUAUAUAUAUAUAUAUGAGCCUUAAGUACAUUGAUAGUAUUCAAAUUCAAGAACCAAGUUAGACUUCAUUGUUCCACAAAAAGAACAUUUCCCUCCAAACUAGUACCCAUUUCUACCAAAAUUUAGACACCAUGGACGUGUACGUGUAUCGGCAAUCUGCUUCACGUCUGACAGUUCUAGCACAUUUAUUUGGUAUAAUAGCCAUAGUUCUUUUGCUUGUUUGGCUGCUGCAUUUUCGUGAGGGAAUGAAUCUUGAUUCCGACAAUCCAUUCCGCAUUUUCAAUGUAAACGAGGAACAGCUCUUUAAGUCAGUUUAGUCUUCACAAUUGAACUUCUGAUUGACCUUCAUUUCUGUAUUUGUUGCUUUUGGGCAGGUUCAUCCAUUUCUGAUGUUUUUCGGCUUCAUAUUUCUAGCUGGUCAAGGUAUAACACGACUCUAUAUUGAUUUUUGCAUGCAAUUUCUCAAUAGCUUGGUGAAUACUAAUUGUUGAUCUGUUUUUAUCAUAAACCACAUAUAACGCUUAUUAAACCUAAGCAUAAGAACUUUAGGAUUAGUUAUCACUAAAGUUCUUCCAUCAAAAUGCUUCACUUUAUCGUCUAUAAUAUAGUAUAUAAGUGGACUCGUAGACCCAAUCUACCUAGGUGUUUAUUACAAUGCUAUAACAAUUAGUAUGCUGGUUCUUGAUAACAGCAAUGAUGGCUUACAAGACAGUACUAGCAGCAAGAAACGUGCAGAAGGUUGCUCAUAUGUUCCUUCACUUGGUAGCAAUCACUUUGGGGAUUGUUGGAUUACACGCUGUGUUCAAAUUCCAUGACAGGGCCAACAUAAGGAAUUUGUACAGCUUACAUUCCUGGAUAGGCAUCGGCACCUUCUCCCUCUACAUUUUACAGGUAAUUAAUGUAAAACUUGAGUAAUUCCAACCUCUUAUGUUUAAUCACUUCUUAAAUUAUAUCGUGAAGUUUAUUUUUUGGACAAGACAGUAUUACUUGUAUAAAAUACAAUAGCCCCACAAUGUUAGUGGAGUAAAUGUAACGCUAGAGAAAAAAAAAAUUUCAUGAAAUGGUAGUCAAUUAGUUUUAAAAGUUUCUCUUCGUCCUUAGUGUCUUUUACUUUUAAAAAUUGGAGAACAUUAUGAGUAAGAAUGUCAUUAUAAAGUGCUUGUUGUAUAGUUAAAGAAUACACACAUUAACAACUAUGGGAGUGCCAAUAAUAGCUUUCAUAUAUAUAUAUAUAUAUAUGUGUGUGUGUGUGUUUUGUGCGCGCGCACGCUUGUAUAUAUGUAUGUAUGUAUCUACAUUCGUGUCAGUAACUUGCAUUUACACAUUUUAGACUUAUUCUAGAUUUGAUUUGCAGUGGUUAUUUGGGUUCAUUACGUUCAUGGUUCCACAAACCUCGCUCGACAGUAGGGCGAGGGCACUCCCAUGGCAUAUUUCUGGUGGUAGAGCACUGUUGUACAUGGCAAUCUGUGCAGCAGAGACUGGAUUGAUGGAGAAAGUAACAUUCUUGGAACUACAACAUGGCAGAGAAACUCUAUUGGUUAACUUUCUUGGACUGGCAAUUCUUCUAUUUGGAAUUACAGUUGAUGUUUCGGUUGCCCUUGCACGUUAUGUGUAACUAUGGCUUGUUCAUGAGGACCCGAUGAGAUGAGGACAAUUUCUUCACAACACAUCCAGUUUGGCAAACUAGUAUGAUAACUUUGUUCAAAAAAAAAAGUUGGUUUAUUGGAGAGGUGAAUUUUUCUUUCCUACAUUGUAAAUUAUUGUGAAGUUAAGAACUCAAGGAAGUGAGUUUUGUGAGAAAGUUUGAGUUUAUUUAUUUAUUCAUGUAUAGGAAAAAUCACCUAUUGGAUGAUACAGGUUUGCCAUAUAUGCUUAUUUUAAAAGAAAUAAAUUAAAAUGUUUACAAGGAAAAGAAGAAGGGGGUGGUUAUAAUGUUUGAGUUUCUUUGUUUGUAGCCAGCAUGUCUCAAGCGUACAAGAAAUUAUCAUUGAAUGAAUAUAUAUACAAGUAGAGGUGUAAACGAGUUUAAUUAAACUAAACACUUUAGUAUUCAUUCUUGUUUGAUUAUUUUAACAAGUUUGAAAUUUUGUUAAAUUUAAUUAAUUUAUUUAACAAAUCAUGUUUGAAUGAAUUUUUAUCGAGUCAAACUCGAGUAGAUUAAGAUUUUUACAUAUAAAAUCUAAUUUUAUACUAAACAAAAUAAGAUCCGUCUGACUUUCAAAGUUUAUUGUAUAUAAACUGUUUUCAAGUUUGAUUUAACUAGUUAGUAAACCAAACUCAAAUAAAUUUUUAUUAAGACGAACUAGAUUCAAAUAUUGAAUAAUUUGGUUUAUAUUUCAACUCUAUAUAUAAGUUGCGAUGGUAUUACAAACAGAUGAUAUUGAGAAUUACAAAUUGCAGCUAUACAAAAUCAAAUUGUAAAUUAUAUUAUGUGAGAGUUUAGAUGAUUUAGGAUGUUAAAGAAUGGGAGAGGGGGAUGGGUCGGGUGACUUUGAAACUUUCUACUUAUACCUUAAGAAAAAAAAAGAUGUUAAAGAAUGGGAGUGAAUAUUUCUAAGAUUUAGAGAGGAGAUAAAAAAACUAGAUAACAACAAUAUUAUACUAUUCUUACCCCAAAAGAAAAAUUAUACUAUCAUAAAAGGGAAUAAAUACUCUAACGAAAACAAUAGAACGGCUAUUGGUUCCCCUCAGUUUUUAAAACUACAGAUCACAAUAACGAAAUUGACAAAAUUUUAAAGUAGUCUCUUUCUGAAUUUUCUUUUUAAUUGAUUUUGUGAAUGCAUGAGUUUUUUUUUAACCAAAAUAACUCUCUUUCUAAAAAUAUUACCAAUGUGAUUCACUUCCAAAUUUUAUUUUCAUAAUGAUAUUAUUAUUGCCAUCUAAUUAUCCUCACUAUCAUGUAGAAUAACAGAAAAGGAAAGUUUGAAUCUUUGUUGUCACGUUGAUCUAUUUAUUGCCACGUAGAUUCCCAAAUUAAACGAAAAUGACCAUGUGUGAAAAUUUGGUUAGAAAUAUCCAAUCUACCAACAAUUGUACUCUUAUUUUCUACUACCAUUGUAUCUCUUAGAAUUUUGCAUAAUAUUAUAUUGCAAUUCCUUUCUUUUUUUUUGUAAUUAUAUCUAUAAUAAAGUUAUGAUUUUAUUCAUUUUAGUAUUUUGAAGUGUACAUAAAUUCUGGACAAAAGAGUCUUCAAAAUUGAAGUUGACAUAAAAGAAUUCCAUGUCAAAAGCAAAAAGAAGUGAAGAAUAAGAAUAAGAAUUGCAUUCAAAAACCACAAUUAUUAGAAUAAGAAUUUAACCUUGAAAAUAUCAAGAAUAACAUAAUAUAAGAGUCAAGACUUGUUAACCAUUGAUCUUUGGAAGAACAGGCAUUGCAUUCUGAGAAAAAUCAAACUGUCAUUCUUGUUCAUUCAUUAAAAUAAAAAGAAUGAUUAAUAUAAUGGGGAUGGAUCCUAUAAAAAAAAAUGGAAAAUAUAAGAUUUCGUGGAAUUAGUUUUCCAUUCUGGGCGUGUACGUUGUAAUAUAUACAUUAGAAAAGAAAUAAAGUUUUUGAUUGUAUUAGUUUAGAAAUAUUUUAUGAAUAGAAGAUUAUUUUGGCAAAAAAAAAAAAAAAAAAAACUCCGAAUGCAUAUGAUCCUUGACUUCAUUCUCUAACAUUGGCUAUUGAAUGAAAUAAGUUAUGAAUCUUUCAUCAAUUAUAAAUAUUUACUACAUGUAUCAUAUUCCCGUUAUAAAUUGUGUUGUUAGACAUUUUUUAUUUGACAAAAAAUGAAUUUCUUUCAACGUCCAUCUAUAAUUAGAAAAUUAGUAAAAAAAAUGUUAAAAAAUUACUAAAAUCAAAACAACAAAAACUACAAUUAAUUUCGUGUCCUUUCCUUUUCUUUCUUCUAAGUAAUAGCAAUUUUAGUUAGCAAUGGAAGCUAAAAUUCCAACCUCUUAGCUUUUACCUUCUAACUCUUUCAAGUAACAGUUCAUGAAAUAUGCCAUGAUUGAAAAAAUGUAAGGGAAGUUCCUAUAGUUAAAGUUCUUCUAUAAAUUAAAUCUUGCUUCUUCCAUAUACUAUAUUAUAUUUCUGUAAUCCCUGAUCCCUAAAAUUCUGUUUAAUAGUACUCAUUCCUUUCCUCUCGAAAUAAUUUUCAUCCAAGCUUAACCUUCGAACUUUUUUUAUCAUCCACUGGGAACUUAAAACAAGUUUGAACUUCAAGAGCUUCCAUAUUUCUUGGAAAAGAUUUAAUUUGUCCCCACUCAAUUUGUCCAGUUAGAAGAACUGUUUCAGGUAAUCCGUACUCUGAUAGUAGGGUUUUAAUUUCUUUAUUCUUCAAUACGCGUUCAUAAUUUUUUUUUUAAUGUCGUUUAUUCUUUUGUGAAAUGACUUGUUAUAAAUCUUGCUCCCCAUUAGAUGAGUGAUUCUGGUUUUUGGGAUGGCUACAAAUUGGCAGUUGUUCAAAGUCUUCAAGCCGGCAAAAAUCGAUUUGGAUUCUUUCAACCGUUUCAAGUCAAAUUCUUCUGUGUUUGGCCAUCCGGUCUCUACAUAACAAACUGGUAGCACACCAUCACUUGAUUACGAUAUAUUUCAUAAGCUUAAGUUCAUACAUUAUUCUCUUAUUAGCUGUUGCAGCCUCAGUCAAAACGAGUUUUAUUUGGUAAGAAUUAUGAUUCCAACUCUGCUUUUGCUCAUGUUCUCGGUAAUCAAAUGGAAAAAAAAAAAAAGAUGAUUAGUUCGAAUUAUUAGAAAAUAUUGGGAGCCAAAAUUUGAUUCGCCGAGUUUGAGUUGGUCCAAUAAUUUUUUGGACUUAAAUCACUAAUCCCAAAUAUUUAAACAGAUUCAUUAGUAAUCAAUAAAUCAAUCAUAAUUAACGCUUUCUAUUUCACUUGUCUUUCCACUCCUUUUCACGCCAUUCCUAUUUUCAACCACCGUUAGUUUCAAAAUUUGAAUCCUGAACUUAAUAGCGUGGAGAAAUCUAAAAGUCCUUCCCUAGCCUCUUUCUGUGCCAUUGGGGCUUUGAAGCCCGGAUUACAUUACGUUUUCUUGUUUUUCUUUUAAUUGGAGCCAACUACAAUGAGUUAAUCUCCUGCUCAAAGCAAAAAUCCAAUCAUGGUGGGGAUAUUUUUCAGCGUAGUUAAUAACAUGGUUGAAUUGGUUCUCCCGUGAAUAGUUCUGAUUUAACAUUUCCCAAAUAUUGUGGACUCCUUUAAUUGGCAGUUGGCGCAUUAUUUAUUGCACCUUAUCCAAGUUUACAUGACUUAAAGCUUAUUUAAAACACUAUUCGGCUCUCUGUACUGUUACCUGGGAGAAUAUUUCAAUCUGCUAAUCCAAAUACUUAAAUGGACCGAUUUUAUAGAUUCUGUUUGGAUAAUAUUUUAAAAUAUGUUCUCUAUUACCCAAUAUUAGACUGCUUCGUUUAAGACCCCAGAUUGAACGAAAUAAUAAUGUAAUCAAGAAAUCUUUCAUGAUUUCAUUCCAUUUCUACAUACUACCAUUUUCAAGUGCACUAGACUAGUAGGCCUAAAAAAAAUUUAAUUUCAUAAAAAUACCAAGUAAAGAUCGGUUUUAGAAAUUCCUUUCUUUUUCUUUUUUCCCUUGUUUGUAUACAUGGGCUUUGGUAGAUCAGUUUUACAGAUUUACUUGUAUAUUAUUGUGACAAAAACCAGCAGUAUAUUACAUUUGCACGACUUAAUUCUGACCUAGAGAUUUUUUAAGCAACCCAUAAAACAAAGGGAUAAUUUCAGAAACCUCCCCUGACGUUUCUAAUAAUUUCACUGAGCUUCCGUAGGAUUUUAAAAAUUACACUUACCUCCUCUGAUUUGAUAGUUUUAUUAACAAAAUCUUAAAAUAAUAUUGACUUGGUCAAUUUUUUAAAUGAAAACCCAAAAUGCCCUUGUGUAAUGAGUUUUGAUUUAUUUUUCUAUACAAUUAUAAGAUUAUCUAGUAUAAUUAUAAGGAAAAUGUGCCAAACUUUUACUGUAGAUUUUUUUGGAUUAUUUUUAGAGGUAUUUUUGAAACAUAUUUUUGAGUAUUUUUAGAAUAUUAUAAUUUUUAUAUUUUUAUAUAAAUAUACAUUUAUGCAUUUAUAAUACAUUUAUAUUUACAAAUGUAUAAAUGUAUAUUAUUAUAAAUGUAUAAAUUAUAAAUGAAUAUUAUAUCAAUAUAUAAAUUAUAAAUUAUAAAUUAUAAUUUUUAUAUUUUUAUAUAAAUAUGCAUUUAUGCAUUUAUAAUACAUUUAUACAUAUUUAUAAAUAAAUAUAUUUAUAUAUUCAUAUAAAAAUAUAUAUAUGUAUUAUAUUAUAUAUAAUACAUAAUAUAAAUAUAUUUAUAAAUGUAUAAGUGUAUAUUAUUAUAAAUGUAUAAAUUAUAAAUAUAUUAUAAAUUAUAAGUGUAUAUUAUUAUAAAUGUAUAAAUUAUAAAUGAAUAUUAUAAAUGUAUAAAUUAAUAUAUUAUAAAUAUAUAUUAAUAUUAUGUAGAAAUGUAUUUAUAUAAUUAAUAUAAAUAUAUAUAUGUAUUGAUAUUAUGUAUAAAUAUAUAAUUAAUAUUAUGUAUAUUAAUAUAAAUGUAUAAAUGUAUUAUAUUAUAUAUAAUAAAUAAUAUAAAUGUAUAUUUAAAUGUAUAAGUGUAUAUUAUUAAAAAUGUAUAAAUUAUAAAUGAAUAUUAUAUAAAUGUAUAAAUUAAUAUAUUAUAAAUAUAUAUUAAUAUUAUGUAGAAAUGCAUUAAUAUAAUUAAUAUAAAUGUAUACAUGUAUUAAUAUUAUGUAUAAAUGUAAAAUUAAUAUUAUGUAUAUUAAUAUAAAUUUAUAAAUGUAUUAUAUUAUUUAUUAUACAUAAUAUAAAUGUAUAUUAUAAAUAUACAUAAAUAUUUAUAUAUUAUGUAUAAAUGUACAUUUAUAUAAAUGUAUAAUGUAUAAUAUAUUAUAUAUUAUAUUAUAUAUAAUUUAUAUAACAUAUAAUAUUUAUGUAAAUAUAUUAUAAAUAUAUAAAAAUAUAUUAUAAAUGAAAUAAAAUAUUUAUAAUAUGUAUGUAUAAAUAUAUAAUAUUAGAAAUGUAUAAUAUAUAUAAUAUACAUUGUUAUUAAUAUAAUUUAUGUAUAAUAUACAUAAUUGAAAUAUACAUAUUAAUAUAUAUUAUAAAACAAAAUUGAAUAAAUAUAUUUAUAAAUUUAUAUAUAAAUAAAUGUAUUUAUAUAAAUAUAUAAUGUUUAUUUCAAUUGAUAUAAUAUAUAUAAUAUUAUACAUAAUUGAAAUAAAUAUAUUUAUAUUAAUAUAAUAUAUAUAUAUAUAUAAUAUACAUAAUUGAAAUAUACAUAUUAAAAUAUAAUAAAAUAUAAUUGAAAUAUACGUAUUAAAAUACAUAAUUAAAACAUACAAAUUGAAAUAUACUUAUUAAAAUAUACAAAUUAAAUAUACAUAAUUGAAAUAUAUUUGGAGUUGUUUUUGAUAUAUUGUUUGGAUAUGGUGUUUUUGAAAUUAUUUUUGAAAUACGCAUUUACUGUAGCAUUUGGAAUGUGAAAAACAAUUUUUAAAAAACAGGUGCAAAAACACUCAAUCCAAACGGACCCAGCAGUAUAUUACAUUUGCGCGACUUAAUUCUGACCUAGAGAUUUUUUAAGUAACCCAUAAAACAAAGGGAUAAUUUCAGAAACCUCCCCUGACGUUUCUAAUAAUUUCACUUAGCUUCCGUAGGAUUUUAAAAAUUACACUUACCUCCUCUGAUUUGAUAGUUUUAUUAACAAAAUCUUAAAAUAAUAUUGACUUGGUCAAUUUUUUAAAUGAAUACCCAAAAUGCCCUUGUGUAAUGAGUUUUGAUUUAUUUUUCUAUACAAUUAUAAGAUUAUCUAGUAUAAUUAUAAGGAAAAUGUGCCAAAAUUUUUAUGUCCAUAAUUACUAUUUGAUAAACAAAUAUAAUAAUAAUUUUAUCACUAUGAUAAGAUACUUUUGAUGGUAUUUUAUUGUGAAUUUAGAUUUAUAAGAUAGAAAAGAAAAUGUUAAAAUAAUUCAUUUAGAGUUUAUGAAUUUUUUGAAUAGUGAGAUUAUCACAAUUUGGUAGUCAUUUUGCGCCAUUUCCUUUUGAUUUAUUGUUAAUUUUAGUACCAAAAAAAUGAAGACAAAGAUCAACAAAAACAUUGGAUUACAUAUAAAAUUAACUCGUCAAAAAAUCACUAGUUUAACAUUUGAUUACAAUAGAAACUAGAAGCAAUAGUGGUAGUUUUACAGUUUUACUGGAGAAAAAUUAAUUAAAAAAAAGGAAUAAAAAGGAAAAAAUAAUUUUAAAACUCAUUAUAAGUAUAAGCAUAUCAAAUAAGGGAAUUUCAUUAAAAUAUUUAAGGGUAAAAUUAUCAUUUUAAAUGACAAGGGAGGUAUGGGUAAUUUUUCAAACCUCAAAGAAGGAGUUAAGUGAAAUUGUCAGGAACCUCAGGGGAGGUUUCUGAAAUGAUCCCUAAAACAAAUGUACCAAAGAAUUUGUUAUCAUCUUGUACAAGAUUUACGGCAGCAGGACAUCAUUGUGAUGACAGAGUGACAAGACACAUGAUUAUGACUUGAUAUAAAUAUGUGGUGCCCAAACUGAGUUGUUUUCCAAGUAAAAAAGCUUUAAAACUUGGCUAACUUUCAUUCACCUGUCGAAUUUCAAUUAGCCGUGGUGACUAUGGCAGAACAUUCGUGGCACCCAGGUUGAACCUGUUUGAUAAGGAAGUUAAUGAGUGGUACUAGAAGACGUAGCAUUUGGAAACGGUUACGCUUUAAUCUUUCACCCAUCAGCUAAUCUGUAUUCAUGUUUCUGGUAAAUUCUGAUCCGGAUGACUGAAAUAAAAUUGGACAUCUCUUGAAACACAUCCAAACACGUCUUAAGAAAAGAUGGUGCACAAAAAGGGUAAUGUAAUGUAUGUGCCAAAUUUUGCGUGAGUGUUGUGUGCCUUUUGGCAUCAACUGUUUAACAACACCAAAAUAUCUCAAAUACGAGGAAAAACAAUAUUAUAGAUUAUGUUCAUAUCAGUUUUUUAAAUAUUAUAAAAAUUUUUAAAAAAUAUUCUAAAAAAUAGUUUAUUUUUUUAAUAUUUAAAAAAUAUUCUAAAAUAUAUUUUAAAAAUUCCUGUUACUUUUAAAUAUUUCAAAAUAUAUUCUAAAAAUUCUGCUACUCCCUCCCUUUUUUUAUAACUGACGUUUAAGAAAUUUGCUCUAGUGUACUUUUAUCUGUCGUUUUAUUAUUCCCAUACAGUAUUAAUUAUUUUUUCACAAUUUUACCCUUUUAUCUCUCUUUUCCAAUACAGGAUUCUUAAUUACUACUCCUAGUAAUUAUUGCUUCUCUCUUUGUAACAAUCCUAGUAAUUAUUGCUUUUGGCCUAAUAAAACAGUACCAUUUAGUAUUCUAGUGAGAGAAAACAUGAGUGAAUUGGACAAUUAAUAAGGGUACAAAAGGAAAGUAGUGUAUAAAUUUAAGCAAUGAAAAAUAUUUCUUAAUUGAUGUGUAAAAUCUUAAAUGUCAGUUAUAAAAAAAGGGGAGGGAGUACAUUGCUGUUGUUGUUGUUGUACACUUGGCACACCACAUGGUCUGAUUGGUCCUAGCAAUGGUCCUAGCAAUGGUCAAAACAUGGAGACGGCCACCACAUGUACGUAGAAGGGAAGGUGUCCACGUACACGUAUAAAUUAUGGUGGAAUUCAGUGAAUGGACCAAGUAAUGAAAAGGGUAAUUGUACAAAUCUGCAGAAGUUUAUUAGCACUGACCAUAAAAUUGUAGUAAUUGGAAUAAUCUUGGUCCACCCGUAAGGCCAACAUAUUAUUCUUGAUUACAAUGCAAAUGUACAUACAAGACAGAGCGUACCUAAUUUCUUCAAUCUAUUAUGGCCGGAUUAUAUAAUACAGUAAUAGGUUAGCCGGCAAGAUGGUUUUCCUCAGCUUCUUGGUUGUCAUCUACUAUCAAUUUCGUGGCAGCAAGAAAAGCGGCCUCCUUAGAUUCCAUAUCCCUUUGCCGUAGCUUUUUGAUUGCUUCUGUGCACACAGUAUCAUAUCUCACAACCAUAUUCUCUUUGAACCUCUUUUUACACUAAUGAUUCUAAUAUAAUGAAGUCACAUCUGUCUCUUCUAUCUUUCUAAAUCCUUCUUUAGCCUGCCACUAAACGAUUUCAAUCUUUUCAAUUAAAUAUUUUUCCUGUGGCAUCCAUUUCUACACUAACUGGUGUACUGGGUGCAUCCCACAAAUUGAAACGUUCCUUCUUGUUAUUCUUCUUCUUCAUCCAACAACACGAAUACAGAAGAUCCUCAUUUCCUGUGUCUAAGUGUGUGUGUGUGUGUUUAAUUAGCAGUUAUUUUCCUCUUGUAGUGACACAGUGGAAUGGCACUCAAAAGCAGUUCCUACCAAACUUCUGCAACGCCAAUUUCAUUGUUUGCUCACUUGGUCUUCAUAGCAAUCUUCAUUCUUGUGCUGGUUUGGCUUCUCAAAUUCAGGGAAGGACUUUCCUUCAAAUCAGAUAACAAGCUGAAGCUUUUCAAUGUAAUAUACUUUUCUUGCUGCAUGAAAAUUGAUGUUUUUCUAUUCAUCUGUUUUGCUGAUCAAGAUUUAUGUGUUCUUCAAUUUAUGCUUAUAAUUUUCCUUUUUCCAUGCAGCUGCACCCCUUGUUUAUGGUCAUUGGCUUUGUCUUAAUCUCAGGACAAGGUAAGAAAUUAAGGAUGAUGAUAUAAGUUGGGCAAGCCCCUUUUCAGUUUGUUCUGCUUCAAUUCUACUUCUAAUCUUUUCUUCAUCAUUGUAAUUGAGUCCACUCUCACCUUACAAACACAAAGAAGGGCUUCUGAUUAUGCUGAUACUUCCGGUUAUUAUUGCCUAAAUUCUAGAUUUUCUAAUCAAAGAGCUUGUAUUAACUGAUUUCUUCUAGCUUUGGAAGAAGGUCAAAGAGUUGGACUUAAUUUAGUCGUUCAAAGUUUGAUAACUCUUGUUUCCUUGACAAAAUAGUUGUCUUUUUCUCUGUUCAAAUUUUUAGAAAGCUAAAAUAAAAUAUGAGAAUUGAGUAGGAAACAGUGAGUAAAAUUUCCCAUCUUCUUGCUUAUUGACCAAAUUGUUUCUUUCUCCAUGUUAGCCGGGUGUAUAAAAGUCACUUAAGGUUUUCACAGGGACAAAGUUAUAAUUUAUAAGGGAGAUUUUCAUAAACUUUCAACUUUUAUGGGUCAAAAGUACAAAUUCUUAAAACUAGGGGGACGGCCUUGAUUGUUCGAAUAACAUCUUUCAUGGACAUUUUCGCACCGAAAGCCCUGAAUAUCCUUCACUGGCCUUUAAGUCCGGGCAAAUAAGACCAAACGAGCACUAAUUUCCCUACAAUCACUUAAAGCCCAUUAAACGAUGGAGAAGAAAUCUAUAAUACUGCUUAGUCUAAAUUUGUAGUUUUCAUAGACAAAUAACUUGCACUAAAAACAGUCCAGAAAGUUUUGAUUGAGUGGUCAAAGUCGCCCACUCCUAUUCUAUCCUAAUCUAUUUAUGAGAGGUAUAACUGGACUUACGGGGAUCGAUAGGGAUAGAACCACCGCCGAAUCACCCGUCUAAAUUUUUUAAAAAAUUAUAUAAUAUGACAAUCGGUGGAAGGCAAGGUUCGAAUCCUUGUUUAAUAACAAGACACCAUUGUUAACUGAUUGUGAUUGUACUACCACCGGACUAGCCUGGUGCGAUUAGACGGGUACACUACACAUCAAUCUGUUAUUUAUUAUUUUUUUUUUUUCGGUUGUCAAAGUACACAGUACAAUUACUCAAUACUCAAAGUUUUGACCAAUGGUGUCGUGUGACAUUAUACGCUAUUGACAUCACAUGGUGCAUUAAUUUGUUUGUCUUUUUUCUUGUCCAAUGCAAUUCUAAUCUUCUUUGUAUUGGCACUUUGAUUUCCCACUCUUUCUGCUUGUUCAUGUUUUUCGUCACUGGGGUAAAAGGAAAAAAAGUAGGAGUUGACACAUUCUAUGACAUCUUUUAUACUAAAACAAAAAAGUUUAGAAGUAGUUUCUGAUAUAAUACCUUUUUUUUUUCAAGUUUCUAAUAUAACAGUUCACAAUUAAAACGAUAAAAAAUAUUGAAAGGCUGUGCAUUAUAUUUUAUUAUGUGUUUUAUUUUACAUCAUAACUCAUGCUUCAGUUUUUUUUUUUCUUUUCCAAUUUUUCUCCUAAUUUUCUUUCUUUGUGUUUGACGUUCCAAAGUUUGUCUAAUGGUCUAGCUAGAGCAUCAAAAAGGCCUGUUCGAGUUUCUGUUCCAAAUUAAUUUUCAAAAUGAUUUCAACCUUGAUAUUGAAUUCCCAUCUUUGACUAGUAGUAAAGUAGUAUAAUAUACAAACUUGAGUUCUUGAAUUUAUUAAUAACAACUUGUCAUUGGUAUUUUUGUCGCAGCUAUCAUGACAUACAAGACUUUCCCAGCAACGAGAAAGAGACAGAAAUUGGUUCACAUGACUUUGAAUUUCAUUGCUCUUCUUGCUGCCAUCGUGGGAUUGUAUGCAGUUUUUCAGUACCAUCAUGACCUUGGAAUCCCGCAUGUGUAUACCUUGCACUCUUGGUUUGGCAUUUCUACUGCCAGCUUAUUCUUUUUGCAGGUAAUUAAAACCUCUAAUCAAUUUUUAGUAGUAUAAUAACUGCUAACUCAUGUAUGCUUAAUAAUACUCCAGCAUAUUUCUACUGUAGUGAAUUCGUUCGAGAUACAUGUAAGUAGUAGUGUUCAUCUUACUAAAUGUGGAUUAUUGAGUAAUAAUCAGUUGUGUGUAUUGAUUCCACCAUUAUGGGCUACUGGUAAUAAAAUCAUAUUAAAAAAAAAAACAAAAGAAUGUUUGACUUUGUCAACAUUUUUCUUGUAUUAUGUGCCUAUAGAUUGUGAUUAGCCCAAUGAAAAAUAUAUAAUUGAAGGACAAAUAUUCCAAGUCGGCAUUGGCUGUAUUGUGUUGAUUGUUGAAUAGGUAGGUGUUUCUUACCAGUUCAAUUUUCUAAUGGGAGAUUCUGAACUUUUUUUUUUUUUUUGUCAGUGGCUGUUUGGCUUCUUUGCCUUUUGGGUCCGAGCCAGAGACUCCACAACUAGAGCAAAUUUAGCACCAUGGCAUGUCCUGCUUGGCAUGGUUAUAUUUUCCAUGGCAAUAGUGAGUGCUGUGACCGGCUUGAUUGAGAAAUUCACCUUCAUGAGCUUAAGAAGAGGGCAAGAGGCAUUGAUUGUCAACUUCACUGGCCUCCUCAUCUUCCUUUUUGGAGUAUCUGUUGGCUGCACUGUUCUUCUUCCAAGAAGUUAUUAAAGAUGGUAGUCAUUGGAAAAUGUUCUUGUCUUUGGUUAUAUAUACAUAUAUAGUUUGGCCCAAUAUUGCAGUUAGACUAAAACAUGUUUAAUCUUUUAUUUGUUCACUUGGAUCGCUCUAGCUUAGAGUAAUGAUUCCCAUGUUUGUUACAAGUGUUCUUGAGUAUUUGAAUAGUUUAUUUGGUCAAAUAGUUCUUUUGAAACCUGCAUUUUAUGCAUGAGAUCUGUGACAUUGGCAUGUGAACUUUUUGGGACUAUUGGAGCUGGAAAAUGGCCAUCAUUUGUGUACUCUACUAAAAAGGGACCUAGUUCGUAAGAUUUGGGCUUUUUUUUUUUUUGGUCGCAACGAUAGAAUUCCUAUAACCUAAUCAGCCUAAUCUAAAGGAGGAGAGAGAGGGGGACUCGAUGUGAAUAGAAAUUCAUCCAAAAUGGCCAAUUAAGGCCGUCACAUAUUGUGAUAACUUUUUGGUGGGAGGUAAGGGCCGAACCCUUAACCUCCCGUGCGUGACCACCGGACCAAAGGCCCAGUGGCUUGUAAGAUUUGGGCUUGGUGAAGUAUUUUCUUGGAGUGAUGAAAACCAAGUGCAGGUUUGAAAAUAAGCUACUAUCUACUAGAUCAAGUUGAUGACUUGAACGACAAAAUCUUGCCCCCUCCAAUCUGCAAUUUGGCUAUAUCAAAUCAGUAAACUGUCGAGUUAAUUCUGAAAACUGCUUAAAGUUUCUAUAAAAAUGCUGGCAUACAAUGAUCAGUUUAUGUACUGGUCAAGGAAUGGCCCAAACCAAAAUCUUGCGCCUGUUUAUCUGUGAACAUUUUUCAAUACUUGAGACCAAUGAGUAUUACGACUUGAUUUACAAUAUUUUCUUUUCCUGAAUCUGGUUGGAGUUCUAAGAAAUCACAAUCUUCUCUUCGAAUUCGGCCUGGUAUGCUGUAGUCCGUGGGUCAUGUCCAGCACCAAAACAAUGCCUAGAAAUAUAUAAUCUUCUGCAAGUAGUUGAAUGAGAGUUUUGAUCUUGCAUCACAUACCCUGUUUGCAUGCAUUAUCACCUUUAAUCACAUAAAACCUUCAUAAUUAAGGAAAAUUUGAACUGUUGAUUGAAAAGCAAAGAACCAUACGGAGAUUUCACCAAAGAUGCAGAUGUAGCCACGUCUGCAGGCUAUCACCAACAGGAGACCGUGCCCACAAAUCCCAAAAUCAAUAACAUUGCCUUUUUGACAAAAAAAAAGGGACAAAUUCCACUUUACCCUACUGUGGUUAAGUUUUUUCUACAUGACCCUUCUAUAAUUUUAAAACUAUACAUAACUCCUUUAUGGUUUAGAUUAAAGUGUCAAAGUAACGGAAAUAGUCAUUUGUAACGGAUCUUUUAAAAAUAUUGAAAUUACCCUUAUAAAUACAUGACACACUAAUCACGUAUGAUUUUUAUAUUUUACGAUAUAAUCUUCUUAUGGUUUAAUACUGUAUCAUAUAACCCCCUUAUAAUUUUCAAAAUAUACAUAUAACCCCCCUUAGUUAAUAAAUAAUUUUCAACUUUACAUAAGGGUAUUUUUUGCAUUUUAAGUGACUUCAUUACGAAUGAUCAUUUCUGUCACUUUGACACUUUAAUUCAAAUCAUAAAGGGGUUAUGUAUAGUUUUUAAAAUCAUAGGACAGUUAUGUAAAAAAAUAUUAAACCACAGGAGGGUAAAGUAGAAUUUGUCCAAAAAUAAAAUACAUUGCCUGAAAGACAUCUUUCCACACAAAAAGUUUCUAACCUACAGAGGAUUUCAAAUCCAUAUUAGAGUUAACGAGUUCUACAAAAUCUUCUUCAUUUAAUUAAGCUGUUACAGUACAAAACUGCACUAGACUCCUAAAAAAUUAUCCCUACCAAGAAUUGCAAAUUUUAAAAAUAAUCAGCAUUACUUUGCUCUAAGCAUACUAUUCUAACUAAAAUGGUGCUGCAAAUUUACCUAUAGCACACGAAUUGAGCAAAGAAAUUCAAGAUAUGAAAGCCAUUCUACAAUCAAAUUUUGGCCACACCAAAUAUACCACUUGUGUCUGAACUAUCAGUGUGACCUUUUUCAUAUCAUAUUUGCCGAUAACCUAAACACGUAUGAAAGAUCAGCAUGAGAUAAACCUAAGAUAAAGCAAAGUUCAUUACAUAUUCCAACACAAUGCAGGUGAUUCAAUGAAGAGAAGAGAACCAGCUUAAAAGUUCCUGUCAAUUUCCAAUGCAAAACGGACUAGGUGAAUGUUGAUUACUUACAGCAAAAACAGUUCAUUGGCAGCUCUAACGCAUAACAGUUUUAUGUGAAAAAGUUUGCGAACUCUAAAAAACGAAAGUGCACUAGUAAAACAAAGUAAAGUGAAAGAAUGAAAGAAAUGUGAUUGGAUCAUAAGCCGGGAUAGAUGCUCAAAUCGUGAUCACCUAUGACAUGAAGACCAAAAAUUGAGCACUACAAGAGAAAAAAAAAAACUUCCAUUUACCAACCUUUUACUACUGAAGCAUAAAAAGAUCCCUCCUCCUUCAUCUGGAUUUGGGACCGGCUGUCUAAUGGAUUGCAUCAACACAAGUGGAGUUAAAAUAUUUUAUGUCUCUAGUGCCAAGUAUGACAAGCCAUCUCUUUACUAUCAUAGACAAGUCAUAAAAUUUUGUAUGAAAUUGACCAAGUUUUAUCGUCUAAUCAAUAAUUGCAAAUUUUGUCACAAUUUUGACUCAUUUUUUGCUGUUCAAAUAUUUCUUGUAAAUUAAAUGUCAAAAUAUAUUAUUACUUUUUCAUAUGUUGAUCUAGAUAUCAAAAGAAAAGUAACGACACAAUAAUAGUAUUAUUUUAUAACAUUAUCUGAAUUUAAAUAUAUAGAGAUCAAUGGAGAGGAUCCUCACAAUAGUAUAAUUUUGUAACAUUAUCUAAAUUUAAAUAUAGAUAAAUAUAGAGACCAAUGGAGAGGAUCCUAACUCGUGUGUAAACUAGAUUUAGACAGAUUCCCAAAAAUAUAGCUAACUUUGAUGCCUGAGAGUGGACGCGGCCAUUAUUUAACCUGGUAUUUGGGCAUAUUAAUAGGACUCAUUUAGACAUACUAAUAAUAAUAGGGAACUCAAGUGAUUAGUAGCUAUUAAAAUGUUCAAAAACAGAUAGAGUUAAGAAAAUAGCUUUUUUAGGCAUGCUAAAUUAGGCAAAAAAGAAUCUGAGUGCUUUAAACUAAGGAGAGAAAUUAAGUAUUGAUCUUAUAGAGUAUGUAUGAGACAUUAAAGAGAAAUUAAGUAUUGAUUUUAUUGAGUAUGUAUGAUUACCCUUUUUUCUUUUUCUUUCUUGUUAAAAUGAGCAACACUUUGUUUGAAGAAAGCAUAAUAUUCAUAUCAACUGAACUAGUUUAAUCUAGUUCAAUGAAUUAACUAAAAAAUUUUGAAGCUCAAUAAGCACAUACAUAGUUGUAUAUAAAAUAUGUGUAUGUGUUAGAUAAAGCAAAAUGAUAAACAGAAGUGUUGAGUUUACAACAUUUGGAAAAACUAAGUUAGGUUCAGAAUGGUUGGAGAUUUGAAAAUCGAUUGGUGAAACCAAAUUGGCAAAAGUAUAGUGUAAAAAUAAAAAUUGAAUCUUUUCAUUUUGGGAAAACAAAAAAAAUAGUCCAAUGUCUUUUUUUCCACUUUUUUUUUUAUUUUUUUUCCAAAAUUCUUUACUACUAAUAAAAAAAAUGUAAAUGAAAAUAAGAAACCAACAUAUUUUGUUGAUUUUUUCUUUUUUAUUUUUUGUCUUUUUUUUUGGCUCUUUCCACACAAAUUACUUACUAGUAAAUAAAAGAUAAAAAAUUAUACCAAAAUCUUUUUGUGCUAUUUGUGCAUUUUUUUGUCUUUUACUACUAAAGCAUAAAACAUCCCUCCUCCUUCGUUCGAACUUGGGACUUGCUGUGUGAUGGAUUGCAUCAACACAAGUGGAGUGAAAAAACUGUAUGUCUCUAGUGUCAAACAUGACAAGCCAUCCUUUUUGGAUCAUAGACAAGUCACCUUGGACAAUGAAUACCUCUAUGCCACAAAAUACGAGGAAAAAUUGAUGAAUACUCCCACUCAAAACAUGUAGAGUAGACUGUAUCAAAUAACAAUAAUUGACUCCCAGCCUUCAACAUGUGUGAGGGAUGAAACAUUAUCUAGCCUACUAAGGGACUUUGUUCAAACAUAACAAUUUGACAUGAAUUCGGCACUAGCUAACCCAUAUGAUAAUUAUAUUGAAAAAAAAUGGUGUGCUCACAGGAGUAGGGUUGAAAAUGCUCAAAAGGCUCAUCUCAACUUUGCAUCCGCAACCAAGUUUUUUAGUUUAAAAUCCCAAUAUAUUUGAAAGGCAAAGGUCCAAAAGAGAUUUAGCAUUGCUCAGCAGAAUCAACGCAUUAACAAUGGAUAUGAUAUUGGCCGACUGCACUUUAGUUGUGGUAGGGUUCCCCAUUGUCUCUCACUUUGUGAGUGCAAGGACUUGGCUGUAAUCUUGUACACAGAUUUUGUGCUUUGAUUGCUAAGCUGUCCCUCUUGAGGCAAUAGUAAUACCAAUUUUUUUUUCUAGAAGCACAUUUUUUGUGUGCUAUUUUGUCCUCUUUUUGCACUUUCAUUUUUAGGUCUCUUGAGAAUCCAACUUGCUCACUCAGGAGAUAUUUCCAUGGAACCACAAAUGCAAUCUCACUUAUUAUUUGAUAUAGCAAGACUCUCGAUUUGGCUUACUCUAUGUCAGGAUUCAAUCUUCAAAAGAAUGAAAAUUAUAGUAAUGACUAAUUCUGAGUUAAGAGAGAAUGAUUAUACGAAAGAAAGAGCUAGAGAGAGAAGAAAGAGAGCAGAAAUGAGGAAAACAAGAAAAUAGAAUUUGAUUCUUGCCAAUCCCCAUUCAUACAACUUUGUAACCAUUAUACAGAAAGAGGCUUAAUUGCUUCUUACUACUGCAACUAACUACUCUAACAAAAUUCAACUAACUACUCUAUAUAAGUUGUAUUAGUUAAAAAAUAAAAAGAAUUAAAAAUUAAAAACAAUUAAUGCACAUAUUUCACCACUCAAAAAGUUCAUAUUUAAUAAAUUAAACAACACAAAUAAGCAGCAAAACUAUACUAAUGAUCACAAGAUUUAACAAAACAGACUGGUCAUCUCUUUUGAUAUGAUAUUCACUAUGAUUCUUUGUGAUUUUGAACAGAAAAUUUUUUCAAAAUUUGCCUUUCUUUUCCCUCCAUUCUCCUUUACUAAUAUCUAACGAUUAAUUAAUUAGAGGACUAAUUAACUAUUAAUAACUAAUUAAUGAAAAUAAAUGUUAAAAAUUUCUUUUAAUGAUGAAUGAUGACUUGUAUUUAUGAAAUAACAUUAAUUGAUAUGUCCAGUGGAGGAAGGAGGGAAAAUAAAAAAAAAUCAAAAAAUUUUUCUGUUAAAAGAAUCAUAGCAAACAUUCGAAAGAGAUGACUAUUCUAUUUUAUUGAAUCUUGUGAUUAUUAGUGUAGUUUUGUUCCUUAUUUGUGUUAUCUAAUUUAUUAAAUGUGAACCUUUUGAGUACUGAAAUAUGAGUAUUAAUUGUUUCUAACUUUUAAUUAUUUUUAAUUUUUACUAAUACAACUUAUAUAUAUAUUUUAAGUGUAAGCAGGAGGACUCGAACUCGAGACCUCUUGCUUGCACUCUCUCCCCCCGUACCACCCAACCCAUCCCUCCCUCCCUUAUAUAUAUAUAUAUAUAUAUAUAUAUAUAUAUAUAUAUAUAUAUAUAUACAUACAUACAUACAUACAUAAGGGGUAUUUAUGGAAUAAGAGUUUCAUCUCUCUCAUCGAAGUACUUUUUAAAUGUUACUUUUUCUAAUCGGACUAAUUUUGUUAUCAAACCUUACCCUCAAGGGAGGUUUGUGUAAUAUUGCAAACUUCAGGGGAGGCUAGUGAAAUUGUUAGAAACCUCAAGGGAGGUUUAUGAAAUUAUCCCUUAUUUCAACUCAUAUAUUUAUCAAACAUUGAUGGGCUGACUAGUCAUUCAAAGUGAUCCCAAUUCAAGAACAUUUGGUGGGCUGGGUAUUGAUAUAAUAGUUAAACUCUGAUGGGUUGAUACCAAUCCCAAACACUCUCUAAUUUUCAUAAAGCUGGCUCUAAUUUUUAAUGGACUACAGGGUUUAAACUAAAGCCCAACUCAUCCUAACCCUCUCGUUUCCACUCAAAAUGAUUCCCUUGAAUUUCUUCCACAAAAAAAAAAAAAAAAAAAAAAAGGUUCCCUUGAAUAAAAAAAACAAGGGGGAAAAAAAUAUAAACUCAAGAUGCAUUUGUAUUCUUUGCUAAAGAAAGCGACAAGCAUCAAUAGGAAUCUGACCAUUUGUAUUCUUUGCCAAAGAAAGCGACAAGCAUCAAUAGGAAUCUGACAAAAAUGUGUAAAUUAGGACUCCUAAGCUUGUCCAACGAAGUUAUCUGCUACUAUUAAAUUUGUCCAAAUGCAAUGGUAUGUGUCUAUUCCAACUACCAUUACACUUCAGAUAAAAUUAAAUGCUAAACCAACUCAUAAUCUAACCAUUGCUGCAUUAUAGCUACUCUAAAUAAUUUGAUAGGGCACAAGAAGAAAUUGAGAGUUCUUUUAAUGGAGAAGUACGAUGAGUCAUUGUAACUUAUAAAUGAAUGGUUUUCGUGAUGUUACAUAUAAGUUUUAACUUCCUACUACAGAUUUUAUUGGGAACGAACUCAAGAUGAUAAAUAUAUCACAAACAAUGAUUUAUAUAAGUUAUUCUUUGAUUCUUAUUUACUUUUUUGGUUAAAGAUCAGAUUAUGACAAAUGUUAAAGUGCCGAGUUUAUCGGCAAAAUUUGAGUUUGUUUAGCAUAACAUUUUUUUUUUAAAUGUUGAGUGAAAAAAUAGUAAUAAUGAAAAGAUAAAAUAGUUUUUAUAAAUAGAAUUGUAUGUCGGCCUUUAGAGAAUCUUCAUAAAUCCUAAUCCUAUUAUAAUUCAGGAAAAAAAAUCAGCAUGUAAUCAAAAAGAAUCUUUUUAAUCCAUUAUUUUAUGAAGUUAGUACACAAGAACCCCUUCAAAUGCUCCUUGGUCAAUGUACAGUGAAGCCAGCUGGCAAUUAGCAUCUGAAAUGUAUGAAUUUUAACCAAUUUUUUUUUUCACUAAAAAAAACCCUGAUGUGGCAAUCAUUGAUAUGCAAAUCCAUUUGGCACAGAGGGUUCAUUUGUUUUUUCACCCCCAAAAGUAGCAUUUUUAUAGGCACCAAUUGUUUGAUGUUUUGAUCCUUUUAACUUAUUCUAUUCUCUACCAUAUUUAAAUGGGACAGUGGCUCUGGAGGCAUUAGUCCUCUGGAAUAAAUUCCAGAAAAUGACUUCCAAACCAGAAGAAUCUUUUUAAAUGCUUCUAGUAUACGUGAUUCAUCAUUGAAGCAAACGAAUUGUUGUAGAGUCAAACCACACUAACAUCAUGUAGCCUCCCAAUUCCUUGAGCACUCCACAAUUAUAUAUAUUAGCUCACUAGGUUUAAAAUCUGAGGCGUCCAGGAUUUCAGUCCUCAUCACCUCCCAGCAGCCUAGCAUGGAAUACUUCCAACCAGCUGCAGAGAAGAAAAGGACAGGGCAGUAGGCAAUGGGUUCUUGUCAUCUAUCAAAUGUAUCAGCCAUGUAAAGAAGGCAAUAAAUCAAGACACCCCUUUUUGUAACCUGAAAAUGUGAUUCUUCCAGAAAGAAAACAGUUUGUAAAAUGAAGUAUGAUAUGCAAAUUCACAUUAGCACAAUAGACUGCAGAAAGGCUUUACUUCUUGAUCAGGCAUACUACAAAUGCAAUGCUUUUUGCAUUGUUCAACAUCAUCACAUAUUCCUCAUCUUACAUAUCGACGAUCAUUAAUAUCAACACUAUGCUGCCAAGAGGCCAAUGAAAAGGAGGAUUGAAAAUUUUAAAAUAGAAAUACAACCAUUUAAUCAGCAGUUGGAAAAAGCAAACAAGACCCUGUAGCGGGCAACAGAAGAAAAGCUAAAGUUAAUGUCAUCUAAUUGCAACCAAUGUCACUAGAGAAAAACAAAUGAUAAAUAAAGAGAAUCAUUAGACCCAUUCUUGUUUCGUUGCCUCCAUUCUCUUCAACAAGCCAGCAAUCUCGGCUUGCAUCCUCAUCUUCAUUUG
rnacentral:lncRNA from 1 species